rnacentral:rRNA from 1 species
CACGUAGGGGGCGAGCGUUGUCCGGAUUUAUUGGGCGUAAAGAGCUCGUAGGCGGUUCGGCAAGUCGGGUGUGAAAUUUCGAGGCUCAACCUCGAAACGCCACUCGAUACUGCUGUGACUGGAGUCCGGUAGAGGAGUGCGGAAUUCCUGGUGUAGCGGUGAAAUGCGCAGAUAUCAGGAGGAACACCAACGGCGAAGGCAGCACUCUGGGCCGGUACUGACGCUGAGGGAGCGAAAAGCGUGGGG